rnacentral:rRNA from 1 species
UACGUAGGAUGCGAGCGUUAAUCGGAAUUACUGGGCGUAAAGCGUGCGCAGGCGGUUUUGUAAGCCAGAUGUGAAAUCCCCGGGCUCAACCUGGGAAUGGCAUUUGGGACUGCAAGGCUGGAGUGCGGCAGAGGAGACUGGAAUUCCUGGUGUAGCAGUGAAAUGCGUAGAUAUCAGGAGGAAUACCGAUGGCGAAGGCAGGUCUCUGGGCUGACACUGACGCUCAUGCACGAAAGCGUGGGGAGCAAACAGG